UACGAAGGGGGCUAGCGUUGUUCGGAAUUACUGGGCGUAAAGCGCACGUAGGCGGACAUUUAAGUCAGGGGUGAAAUCCCGGGGCUCAACCCCGGAACGGCCUUUGAUACUGGGUGUCUUGAGUUCGGAAGAGGUGAGUGGAAUUGCGAGUGUAGAGGUGAAAUUCGUAGAUAUUCGCAGGAACACCAGUGGCGAAGGCGGCUCACUGGUCCGAUACUGACGCUGAGGUGCGAAAGCGGUGGGAGCAAACAGG
rnacentral:rRNA from 1 species